rnacentral:rRNA from 1 species
UAGGGAAUCUUCCACAAUGGACGCAAGUCUGAUGGAGCAAAGCCGCGUGAGUGAAGAAGGUUUUCGGAUCGUAAAGCUCUGUUGUUGGUGAAGAAGGAUAGAGGCAGUAACUGGUCUUUAUUUGACGGUAAUCAACCAGAAAGUCACGGCUAACUACGUGCCAGCAGCCGCGGUAAUACGUAGGUGGCAAGCGUUGUCCGGAUUUAUUGGGCGUAAAGCGAGCGCAGGCGGAAUGAUAAGUCUGAUGUGAAAGCCCACGGCUCAACCGUGGAACUGCAUCGGAAACUGUCAUUCUUGAGUGCAGAAGAGGAGAGUGGAAUUCCAUGUGUAGCGGUGGAAUGCGUAGAUAUAUGGAAGAACACCAGUGGCGAAGGCGGCUCUCUGGUCUGCAACUGACGCUGAGGCUCGAAAGCAUGGGUAGCGAACAGG